UCUCCUCCGGGGCGCAGCAGUGAGGAAUAUUGGUCAAUGGGAGAGAUCCUGAACCCGCCAAGCCUCUUGAUGGAAGACGGCCCUAUGGGUUGUAAACCUCUUUUGUCGGAGAACAGAACCCGGGACGUGUCCCGGACUGCGUGUAUCCGAAGAAAAAGCAUCGGCUAACUCCGUGCCAGCAGCCGCGGUAAUACGGAGGAUGCGAGCGUUAUCCGGAUUUAUUGGGUUUAAAGGGUGCGUAGGCGGUCCGUUAAGUCAGCGGUAAAAUUGCGGGGCUCAACCCCGUCGAGCCGUUGAAACUGGCA
rnacentral:rRNA from 1 species